rnacentral:RNase_P_RNA from 1 species
UCAGUCGACCGGACGGCCGCUCCGCCAAAAUUCCGAAAGGAUGAUCCCGAAAGGGCGGCGGGGAGGAAAGUCCGGGCUCCACGGACGAACGGUGCCGGAUAACGUCCGGCGGGUGUGUCUUCCGCCCAAAGCGGCAGACGGGCUUAGGGAAAGUGCCACAGAAAAGCAGACCGCCUCGGGCGCGUUGCGUACCAGCCUGCGGCAAGGGUGAAACGGUGCGGCAAGAGCGCACCGCGUUUCCGGCAACGGAAACGGCACGGUAAACCCCACCGGGAGCAAAACCGAAUAGGAGCGGUGCGAGGGCAAAGGCUUGCCUUUGUCCUUGGGUCCGUCCGGACCAGCCGCUCGGGUAGGUUGCUUGAGGCGCCGGGCAACCGGCGUCCCAGACGAAUGGCCGUCACGUUCGCCGCGCAAGCGGCGAGCCAUACAGAACCCGGCUUACAGGUCGGCUGAUGAC